UCUAUGGUUUGGCUGGAGUGAAUUUGGUUCCAGGGCAAAUAACCCUUAGCAAGUCAUCCUAUAUGCACCAAGCAAUGCCUGGCUAGCUCUCACUCCUAAAGCCAAUCCAGAGAAGAACCUCCUCAUUGGAUGGAAGGGUCCAUUGUCCCCUUUGUGGGCAUGCCUGCCUCAGGCCUUUAACUUCUCUGCGUUAGCUGGUCAAACCUCUCAUCUGUAACCCAACCCAGGAUCCAAGCAGAAUUGCAGGCAAUAAACCCACACAGACAGACAUAUCCCUUGAGAAACUGAAGGAGCACCCCAGGCAGCAGGGGUAAGCUGAGACGUACAACAUUGAAACGGUGUACUUCAGGUCACGCUAUGGAUGAUGACUUCAGGAUUCCAUCCCAGCCUUUUCUGUCCCCAUCAAAUGGAACUAACAAGGAGGAUUCACUGAAGCAACAUGCAAGAGCCUUCUAGCCUGUCCUCUGUCACAUGGCAGGUGCUCCACCGGUUCCUUUUCUUGCUCCUGUACAACUGAGGAAAGGAUUGAACACAGAUCCCCAGAGACAGAAGGAAGCCGGGUUCAUGUCCCCUUCAGAAGCACACCUGCCCCAGUGAAGCUGCACCUCGCCUUUUGUGUUUGAGCCAACAGUCUCCAGGAACGGACUCCACUUUGAACCACUCUCUCACAGUGGUCAAUCCACUCUUGCCAUCUGUCACCAGCUGCCCUUGCUAGGUCAGUGCAGUCACUGAGUGCUUCCAUUGAAACCUCUUGAGCCUACAAGGAACCAAAUGUUUUGAAUUAAUUGGCUCCUGCUUUCCUUCCUGUGUGUGUACCUUGGUGCCUCUUUAGGUAAUGGACUAGAGGACUGUUUCCUGAAUCCUGGCAGCCCUGAUUCAACAUGGAGUUAAUUAUCAGUAACAUGCUGCACAAUUCCCUCUGCACCAUCCAGGUCAUGGACUUGAGACAUAAUUUAUCCAAGUCUAUCA